AUUGAACGCUGGCGGCAGGCCUAACACAUGCAAGUCGAGCGUGAAAGUCCUUCGGGAUGAGUAAAGCGGCGGACGGGUGAGUAACGCGUAGGAAUCUGCCUUGAAGUGGGGGAUAACUUGGGGAAACUCAAGCUAAUACCACAUAGACCUAAGGGUGAAAGAUGGGGAUCUUCGGACCUAUCGCUUCAAGAGGAGCCUGCGUCGGAUUAGCUAGUUGGUAGGGUAAAGGCCUACCAAGGCGACGAUCCGUAGCUGGUCUGAGAGGAUGGCCGGCAACACUGGGACUGGGACACGGCCAGGACUCCUACGGGAGGCAGCAGUGGGGAAUAUUGGACAAUGGGCGCAAGCCUGAUCCAGCCAUGCCGCGUGUGUGAAGAAGGCUCUAGGGUUGUAAAGCACUUUAAGUUGUGAGGAAGUUACGAUUGCAAAUAGUGAUCGUGAUUGACGUUAGCAACAGAAUAAGCACCGGCUAACUCCGUGCCAGCAGCCGCCGUAA
rnacentral:rRNA from 1 species